CAGUGACAGAGGCAGGAAAUAGAGACAUAAUAGCUUCUUCCUGACGGGGGAGACAGUAAGUCACACCGGAAGCCUGAGAGUUCCUCCCUCCCCCCCCCCCCCCCAAUCUGAGCUUCCAAGUGUCUCCUGCAGAAAUCCUGGGGGGGGGUCCCCCUCCCCCCUCCUCGACCCUUUGGGGGCUUCCGGGCAAAGUCUGCUUCUCUUCCUGAGCAAACUGUUUCCUGGGCUCUAGACUGUGGCCGAUUGUGAAGGGGCAGGGCAGGUCCCCGAGAGCCUCCGCAGCCGGGGAUCAGAGGCUCUGCGGGAGCUGCGGGGCCGCCUUUGCCGACACAGGUGCUGCUUGUGGAUGGGAACGAGAUAAAUGGGAGGCAGAGGGAAGGGGAGGGAGUCAGACAAGGCCUCUCGGUCGGAGAAAGCUACGGCCUCUGGGUCUCCUUGUGUCGUCCUCUCACCGAGGGGGUCCCUUCUGGGCCGGAUCCCCAGCAGCCACUGUCAGGUCACCGGCCACAAUCCCACAGAAGUGGAGACAGCAUGGAGCUGAUUCCAGUCCCUGCCGCACUUGCUGCCCAUCCAGAAGAGCAAAUCUCCAGAGAAAUAAAUACAAGAGCUGUAGUCAGGCGUUCCUGAGCACAGUCCAGCUCCCCAUCUACCAACUGGAUCCGACGGUUCAAGGAAGCCACCUCAGCCUCAGCCUGUUCCAGGGCCCGUUUCUCCCCCUCCACCUCCUGCUGGAGACGCUCGGCCCUCUCCAAGGUGUCAUUGGCCUGCUGCUGCAGAACCUGAAUCUUGCGCUUCACCUCCUCGAUGGUGGUGAUACCAGCCAUGGUGCCCACCCCGUUCUGGCUCCCACUCCGACUGCUACCUCCUCUGUUCGGUGCUGCUGCUGCUUCUCAACCUGAAGGUUUUUCUUAAGGAAUUUAUUAAUACCUUGUUCAAUUUCUUUUUCUAAAAUGGGACUAUUUAAGUAAUUUAUUUCCUCCUUUGUUAAUCUGGGCAAUCUAUAUUUUUGUAGGUAUUCCUCCAUUUCACUUAGAUUAUCAAAUUGAUUGACAUAUAGUGGGACAAAAUCACUCCUAAGUAUUGCUCUCAUGUCUUCUUUGUUGCUGGAAAGUUCUCCCUUUUCAUUUUUGAGGCUAACAAUUUUAUUUUCUUCUUUCCUUUUUCUAAUCAAAUUAACUAAAAAGUUUAUCUAUUUUGCUGUUUUUUCCUUAAAAGAAACUCUUAGUUUUAUUUAUUAAUUCAAUAAUUUUCUUAUUUUUUAUUUUAUUUCUUAUUUUUCAAACUUUAUUAAUCUCCCCAUUUAUUUUCAGAACUUCAAAUUUGGUAUUUAAUUGGGGAUUUUUAUUUUGUUCUUUUUCACCAUAAUCACUGUCACAGUAUAAGUGAUGUCAUUGUCAUGUAGGUACUUUUGUCCCUCUCACAUCUUUACUGUCAUUGUCUCACCCUCAUCAGCACCGUGACAUAUACAACACAAUUAAUAUUUGCAUUAAAAUAAUCAGCUCUGUAACAACAAGGCCGCCAUAUUACUGUCUCAUCACCAGGAAUACUGUAUUAAUGUCCCUUCCCUACCAGGAUGACUUUUACAUCUCCGCUCUCACUGUUAAACCCCCAGACUUGCACAUACCCAUCAUCCCCACAACAUUCCCAGAAUCUCCUUCUCAAUAUAAGCCCCAUCACUGUCUUACAGAGCUCACUACCACCAUUACUUUUGGAGGAUCCCAGUUGGCUUCACAUCCAUUACUUUCACACCUUUACCAUCGUGUUUACCCUCAGCCUUCUCACGUCUCCAUCACCAUAACUGAAAAAUCCUUGCCUUUUCCUUCUCACUCUGCACAUUUCCAAUCACUUGACUGAUUUCUUGUUAUUUCUCUCACCAACCCCCCACUCAUCCCCCAGUUCAGACCCCCAUCACUUCUCUCUUGCACUAUUGCAAGGCCUUCCAGUUCCACAUCCUGUCUAAAGUCUCUCUCUACAUCCAAUUAAGGAGAGACUCAGCAGUCCAAAUGGCCUUCCUACAGGGUAGCUCUGAUUACAUCAGCCUCUACCCAACAAACUCUGGGCUCCCCAUUAAAUAUAAAAUUCACGCUUGGGCAUUUCCAUUUCUUUACAACCAGGCCCAUUCAAAGCUUUCCAGUUUCCUUGUUCUUGACUCCUCUCUGAAGAUCCCACAGUAAUACCAGACUGCAAUACUUGGUCUUUCUUACCCAUGAUUCUCCUUAGAGCCUCGUUAUAAUGUGCCUGGGACAGCAAUACCUAGUUCAAAAUGACAGUGUGACAAAUUCCCAUUGGCCAUUCUCUUUGACAAAAGGAAGAUUUGGGGGACGAAAAGGUUACAGAUAAAAUGAAGGGAUAAAGUAGACACGGGGAAGGGUUAAUAUGAAAUAGCGCAGAUAGGUAGACUGAAGAAAAAGACAAGUUUCCCAAGGGAAGCCACAAUUAGCCAGGAGAAAGGAAAUCCUCCAAGAGGUGGAGAAAGCGCUUGUCUGGCAGGACAGACUGACUAGAGCUAGCCAGACUCGGGAGCAGGGAGCCAUGAGGGGGAGGGAGGAGGGAGAGUCCCACUGAGAGGGCUGAGGCCCGAAGGGAACUGAGCAGAGAUUGUCAUCAUAAGCAGACCUUUCAUAAGGGAAAAUGCAGACAGAAAGAGAAACAAAGAAAAAGACAGAGAGAGAGACAGACACAGAGACACAGACAUAGAGAAGACAGAGACAGAGACAUGCACACAGAGAUAGAAUGAGAGAGAGGGAGACAGAGACAGAGAGACAGACAGAAACAGAGACAGAAAUCAAGACAGAAAUAGUCAGACAGAGACACAGACAGACAAAGAGAUAGAGACAGACAGUCAGGACACAGGCACCCACACAGAGAUAGAAUGAGAGAGACAGAGGCAGACACACAGAUACAGCAACAGCGAUAGAGAGACAGAUUCAGAGAGACAGAGACAGAAAUAGAGACAAAGAGACAGAGAAAGAGAGACAGUAGAGACAGAGACCAAUAGAGACAUAGAGACAGAGCAACACACAGACAGAGACGAGGCAGACAGAGACAAAGAGACACACACUUAGAAAGAUAACAACAGAAAGAGAUAGAUAGAUGGAAAAAGAGACAGAGGGACAUACAGAGAAAAACACGAGGAGAGGAAAUAGAGACAGACAGAGACAGAGAGAUACAGAAAGAGACAGAGACAGAAAAAGAGACAAAGAAACAGACAUGAAGAGAGACACAUGUUGUGUCCUGCUUUCUGGAGCCCCCAAAUUGGGGUGACAAAACAUAAUGAGCUUUCUAGAGCCCCCACACCAGAGUGAUUAAGAUAUACUAUCAUAGUAGAAGAGUGAGGCGGAUCUCCUGAGGAUGGUGGGAAAAUGGAGUCUGUUUAUUUCAAGGACUUUCCCCUUUUUAUAAUGUAACAAAAACAACACUGAGCACGUGGGACCACACGAACAACUUGCUAUUGUACGUAGUUUGCCACCUUGUCUCACUCUGCCUCAAUCUCUACACAGGUUGUCACACACUGCCCCUUGACUUCUCAGGAAGGCCUAGAGCCCUUAGGGAAGAUGGGGAGCCCAGGUUCCCUCUGGGCUGAAGGGUCUUAUACCUCACCCAGAGUUCUCACAUUAUCUGUGACCCUCUACAGGCACACACAGAGUCAGAAACAGAGACAGAGAGUGAGAGUGAGAGAGAGAGAAAUGGAAGAGACAAAGAGAAACAGAGAGACAGAGACAGAAAGAGACACAGAUAGACAGAAUCAGACCAACAUAAAGACAGAAAGAGAGACUAAGACAGGCAGACAAAGAUAGCGACAGAGACAAAGAGACAGAAAAAGAGAGGCAGGAG
ensembl:lncRNA